GCGCGAAAACUUUACAAUGCUGGCAACAGCGAUAAGGGAACCUCGAGUGCCAGGUUACAAAUCUGGCUGUCGAGAUGCCUAAAAAGCAUUUCAUAGCAAGGGCCGGGCAAGACCGGUGCCAGCCGCCGCGGUAACACCGGCGGCUCGAGUGGUAACCGUUAUUAUUGGGUCUAAAGGGUCUGUAGCCGGCCGGAUAAGUCUCCUGAGAAAUCUGGCAGCUUAACUGUCAGGCUUUCAGGAGAUACUGUCUGGCUCGAGGCCGGGAGAGGUGAGAGGUACUUCAGGGGUAGGGGUGAAAUCUUGUAAUCCUUGAAGGACCACCAGUGGCGGAGGCGUCUCACCAGAACGGACCUGACGGCAAGGGACGAAAGCUAGGGGCACGAACCG
rnacentral:rRNA from 1 species